GCUUGUCUCAAAGAUUAAGCCAUGCAUGUCUUAGUGUAAAUAACUCUUAUGAAACUGCGAAUGGCUCAUUAAAUCAGUUAUCAAAUACGUGAUGGUCGCCUACUACAUGGAUAACCGUAGUAAUUCUAGAGCUAAUACAUGCACAAAGGCCCACUCACGUGGGUUGUGAUUAUUAGAUUCAAACCGGCCUCGUUCUGGUGAUUCAUAAUAAUUGGUCGAACCGCAUGCCCUUGUGGUGGCGGUGAUUCAUUCAAAUUUCUGCCCUAUCAGCUUUCGACGGUAGUGUAGUGGACUACCGUGGCGUUAACGGGUAACGGAGAAUUAGGGUUCGAUUCCGGAGAGGGAGCCUGAGAAACGGCUACCACAUCCAAGGAAGGCAGCAGG
rnacentral:rRNA from 1 species